AAGGUGGAUCAGGUGGUCGCUGGUCCUGUAAAGAUAGGAUCAGAGGAAAGUCCGAGCUCCAGAGGGCAGGAUGGUCGCUAACGGCGACUGCCCCCAUUUAGGGGUCAGGAAAGUGCCACAGAAACCAGACCGCCUCCAAUUAUUGGGGGUAAGGGUGAAAGGGUGAGGUAAGAGCUCACCAGUAUUCCGAGCGAUCGGGAUAGCUUGGUAAACCCCAUCCGGAGCAAGACCGAAUAGGAGGGGAAAGGGGUGGCCCACCCCAGACCCUCGGGUAGGUCGCUGGAGAUAGGCGGUAACACCUAUCCUAGAUAAAUGAUCACCACUCCCCAAGGGAGAACAGAACUCGGCUUAUGAUCUACGAUAGGC
rnacentral:RNase_P_RNA from 1 species